AACGUUGGAGAAAACCACACCAGAUGUGAUACAUGAGAGGGGUUACAGUACAGAAGAGCUUGCUGUAAGAAAGGCAGAGACCUGCAUGGAAUGGGAUUGUAGCGGCCUUAUGAACCACAAGGUUGUUAGCCCGCUGAGCUAACACAAGUAUUCACGCCUCAGGCAAGGUUAUUGGUGUAACACAAGUAUUCACGCCUCAGGCAAGGUUAUUGGUGUAACACAAGUAUUCACGCCUCAGGCAAGGUUAUUGGUGUAACACAAGUAUUCACGCCUCAGGCAAGGUUAUUGGUGUAACACAAGUAUUCACGCCUCAGGCAAGGUUAUUGGUGUAACACAAGUAUUCACGCCUCAGGCAAGGUUAUUGGUGUAACACAAGUAUUCACGCCUCAGGCAAGGUUAUUGGUGUAACACAAGUAUUCACGCCUCAGGCAAGGUUAUUGGUGUAACACAAGUAUUCACGCCUCAGGCAAGGUUAUUGGUGUAACACAAGUAUUCACGCCUCAGGCAAGGUUAUUGGUGUAACACAAGUAUUCACGCCUCAGGCAAGGUUAUUGGUGUAACACAAGUAUUCACGCCUCAGGCAAGGUUAUUGGUGUAACACAAGUAUUCACGCCUCAGGCAAGGUUAUUGGUGUAACACAAGCACGGUUCA